GAAUAUCAUUUCUUCCUCUAAUCCACAUGGUUGCUGUGAGGACCAAAUGGGACAGUAUCUAUAAGUCAGUAUGAAUAUCUUUAGUCUUUCUAUUAACAUGAGCUUUAAUAUUUCCUAAUGUUCAUUGCUAUGGAUGCUGAAGACAUAUUUGAGUCCUGGUUUGUAUGUUUACUAGUAACUCCUUAGGUUAGGCAGCCAGUGAUAAUAGAGGACAGAGACUUAUUCCUGAAAUCAAUGAGAGACAGCUGGAUGGUUCAGUGGAUAGAGCACUGCGCUUGGAAGGAAGAUGACUAAAGCUCCAAUUUGCACUCAGAUGCAGGGUGAGCCUGGGCCAGUCACUUAACCCUAUUUACCUCACUCUCAUCCUCUGUAAAAUGAGUGGGAGGAGGAAAUAGCCAACUAUUGCAGUAUCUUUGCUAAGAAAACUCCGGAUGGGAUCAAGAAGACCUUGUUUUAAAUGCUUCCUCAGACACUGGCUGUAUGAUCCUGGGGUGAAGACCAGGAGGAAUGUUCCCCCAGGAUGCCCCUACACAUCCUCGACCAAACUAUAGGAAUGCAAAGGUCCAGGACAGUCCAGAGAAACUUCUGAGAAAGAACAUUGUCCACAUCCAGAGAAAGAACUGUGGGAACAGACAUGCAGAAGAAAAACAUGGUUUGAUAAUGAUAUGAUUAGGGUUUUGAUGUUAAAAGAUCACUCUAUUGCAAAUAUGAAUAACAUGGAAAUAUGUUUUGAAUAAUGAUACAUGUAAAACCCAGUGGAAUUGCUUGUCAUCUCCAGGAGUGGGGAGGGAUGAGGGGUAAUAAAAAUGAUGAAUCAUGUAACCUUGGAAAAAUA
rnacentral:lncRNA from 1 species